rnacentral:rRNA from 1 species
UACGAAGGGGGCUAGCGUUGCUCGGAAUUACUGGGCGUAAAGCGCACGUAGGCGGCUUAUUAAGUCGGAGGUGAAAUCCUGGAGCUCAACUCCAGAACUGCCUUCGAUACUGGGAAGCUUGAGUUCGGGAGAGGUGAGUGGAACUGCGAGUGUAGAGGUGAAAUUCGUAGAUAUCGGGAAGAACACCCGUGGCGAAGGCGGUUCUCUGGGACGGUACUGACGCUGAGACGCGAAAGCGUGGGGAGCGAACAGG